rnacentral:rRNA from 1 species
GACGAACGCUGGCGGCGCGCUUAACACAUGCAAGUCGAGCGAGAACCAGGGCUUCGGCCCUGGGGACAGCGGCGAACGGGUGAGUAACACGUGGAUAACCUGCCCUCGGCACCGGGAUAGCCCGAGGAAACUCGGAUUAAUACCGGAUAGCCCUUCCGACUUUCGAGUCGGUCCGAAAAGGUAGCUUCGGCCUCUGGCCGAGGAUGGGUCCGCGGCGGAUUAGCUUGUUGGUGGGGUAACGGCCUACCAAGGCUCCGAUCCGUAGCUGGUCUGAGAGGACGAUCAGCCACACUGGGACUGAGACACGGCCCAGACUCCUACGGGAGGCUG